rnacentral:misc_RNA from 1 species
CCACGAGCUACCACUAUCAUCACACUCUCCUUGAACCACAGUUUGGAAACAAAUACCCAGAAGAUGUCAUACAAGAAUGCGCAACUGAGAAGAACUGUUCCAACCUUGAGAUUUGGUAUAUGAACAAUCUGAAGAACUGUGAUGAUUAGUGCAAUGCCAAGGAUAUCUUGACCUAUCCAGGCAAAGGAGACACGGCGGUAAACUGCCCAAACAACAGCAAAUGAUAUGCAAAAGGGAGAGACAGCCAAGGUCAAAUAUGAUACGGCUCCAAAGAAGGGAACUUUAAUAAAUGA